rnacentral:misc_RNA from 1 species
UCCGGGUUUCGCCCGGCAGUCUCCCUAAAACUCAAAGGAAUAGGCGGGGGCCCGCACAAGCAGCGGAGCGUGUGGUUUAAUUCGAGGCAACGCGAAGAACCUUACCUGGGUUUGACAUGCAGAGGAAAUUUUGGUGAAAGCCAGAACCUCCCGCAAGGGACUUCUGUGCAGGUGGUGCAUGGCUGUCGUCAGCUCGCGCCGUGAGGUGUUGGGUUAAGUCCCGCAACGAGCGCAACCCCUGUCCUUAGUUGCCAACUCAUCGCAAGAUGGAGGGACUCUAAGGAGACUGCCGGCGUAAGCCGAGAGGAAGGUGGGGAU